CCGUUCCUACGGUAUACGGUUUGAAGGCUGGAUAUUCUUGAACCGAUAUUAGUCUGAACGGGGUCGGUCCCUGAAAGUGGUGUGCCUAAUUUUCGGAUAUGGCCUGAUGCUUUUAACACCUUCCCCACCUAGCAUAGCUGGGUUCAGAAUAGAGCCUUCGCGCGGUA
rnacentral:other from 1 species